rnacentral:rRNA from 1 species
UACGGGGGGGUAAGCGUUGUUCGGAAUUACUGGGCGUAAAGGGCUCGUAGGCGGCCAACUAAGUCAGACGUGAAAUCCCUCAGCUUAACUGGGGAACUGCGUCUGAUACUGGAUGGCUUGGAUUCGGGAGAGGAAUGCGGAAUUCCAGGUGUAGCGGUGAAAUGCGUAGAUAUCUGGAGGAACACCGGUGGCGAAGGCAGCACUCUGGGCCGGCACUGACGCUGAGGAGCGAAAGCGUGGGGAGCGAACGAGGA